GGGAUGUAGCUCGGUGGUAGAUUGCUUGCCUAGCAUGCUGGAGGCCCUGGGUUCAAUCCCUAGCAAUCCCC
rnacentral:tRNA from 1 species